GGGGAAUUUUGGACAAUGGGCGCAAGCCUGAUCCAGCAAUGCCGCGUGCAGGAUGAAGGCCUUCGGGUUGUAAACUGCUUUUGUACGGAACGAAAAGCCUCUCUCUAAUACAGGGGGGUGAUGACGGUACCGUAAGAAUAAGCACCGGCUAACUACGUGCCAGCAGCCGCGGUAAUACGGAGGGUGCAAGCGUUAAUCGGAAUUACUGGGCGUAAAGCGCACGCAGGCGGUCUGUCAAGUCGGAUGUGAAAUCCCCGGGCUCAACCUGGGAACUGCAUUCGAAACUGGCAGGCUAGAGUCUUGUAGAGGGGGGUAGAAUUCCAGGUGUAGCGGUGAAAUGCGUAGAGAUCUGGAGGAAUACCGGUGGCGAAGGCGGCCCCCUGGACAAAGACUGACGCUCAGGUGCGAAAGCGUGGGGAGCAAACA
rnacentral:rRNA from 1 species